UUUCCACCGCCUUUCAUUUCAUCUCACCCGUUCUUUCUCUAUUUUCUUUUUCAUUCUCUUCUCUGUUUUGAACUGGGAAAGUCGAAGGGAAACAGAGCACGAGAGAGAGAGAGGGGGGGACUAUGAAACCGAGAUGGAGCAGAGGGAAUCGGAAGAAUAUGGAGUAGAACAAAGGAAGAACGUGUGCUCGAUUGAGAGCUCGGGUUGGGGUUUAUGGGAGAGAAGGAAGGUUCUUGUCGGAGCAAAGAAAACGGAGGAGGAGCUAAAUUUUCGGUGCAAGUUUUGUGAGAGAGAGGGUACAGUGACAAUGGUUCCAGGUAGAGGGGUUACAGAGACUGAGCUUUGCACCUCGAAGAAUCGACCCAAUGAAAUAUUUUUUGGUAUUCGAUGAGCUAGGAGUUAGACUAGCAGCACAGGAGAACUUCUUGCACAUCAGGGAUCAGCUCGGAGGACUAGGUAGGGACGUUAGUUAUUUGGUACUAGUUCUUUUUGUAUAGAUUGUAUUUGAAUACGUUAUGAUCUGAAACUUUUGUUUAGUUGGUUUAGUGAUGUGGCUCUCUUGGAAUGUGUGUGUAUAUAUAUAUAUAUAUAGGGCAGUUUAGGAAAAAUUCUGCUGAAAUAUCGGGUCGUGACAUAUGCGCCGAAGAGAUGUACCCUUGUCCAGCAAAUUAGUCAGGAUUUGCGGAUGAAGCACGAGGAGAGCUCAACCAUUUCGCAAAGGCUAGGAGUAAAGCUAGCCUUCUUUCAUUACUCUCCCAAACCUAUCAACCCAUCAAAAUUAUUAACGUGCUAUGUGACUGAGAUGGAGAAGAAGAAGAGAGACCUCAUCAUCGAAGCUUGUGUGUUUGUCUACCUUUUCCAAAUAUAUGUGAUUUAGAAUCGCAUUAUAUACUCUUUCCGACGACAAAAGCUCCAAACUAUUCAUUCAUGAAUAUCUACCAAAGGCAUAUUAGGACGGUAUAUGUACGUCAUAAAUUUAUCAAUUAUAGCAUGAUUUGCAUGCUAUACAGUAUCCUUCAGUUACUAGCGUUAUGUUAUUAAAAAGAAAAAAGGCGUUGUGACUGCUUUACUGUAGCAAUAUUAAUUCUUGGAGCAGACGACUGAUCGGCUCGGUCUUUGGCCUGCCCCAGAGUUUCGGCUUCUUCUUGGAGCUUCACCAAUCUUCAGGAAAAAAGAAGCCACUUCUUUGAGUAUAUAAUCCGUGACGUUUCCCUCCUCCUAGAUUCUCUUUAAUCUGAGUACAUCUCAUAAGUUAAUAACACGAUGUUCUUCGUGGAUGUCCUCCUUCACCGUCUCAGUCUCUCGACAUUAAUGAUUUCGAUGCUGUGGUAGGUGAGAGAGAGUGAUGAACUAAGCCAUAUCCCUAUCUGGUGAGAGAUGACCAACUGCCACUUUCCCAAACCCCCAGAGAUGUAACUUCUUCCUGCUAUUAAUUGAUGUUAGUGUUAGUGAUAUAUCCUAGAGCCGGUUUAUGUAUUUUGGAUAAUUCCUUUUAUGACAAUGAAGUUUAUUCUA